UAUCUCUGUAGAGUCUGCAUAUCAAUAAGCGGAGGAAAAGAAACUAACUAGGAUUCCCUCAGUAACGGCGAGUGAAGCGGGAAGAGCUCAAAUUUGAAAUCUUCAAGGUUCUACCUUGACGAAUUGUAGUUUAAAGAAGUGUUUUCUGUUGGAUGUUUUGGUAAAAGUUCUUUGGAAUAGGACAUCAUAGAGGGUGAGAAUCCCGUAUUUGACCAUUAUUUCCAGCUUUGUGAUACACUUUCAAAGAGUCGGAUUGUUUGGGAAUGCAGUCCAAAAUGGGUGGUAAAUUUCAUCUAAAGCUAAAUAUUGGCGAGAGACCGAUAGCGAACAAGUACCGUGAGGGAAAGAUGAAAAGAACUUUGAAAAGAGAGUUAAACAGUACGUGAAAUUGUCAAAAGGGAAGCGUUUGACACCAGUGUUGUUUUCUCGGAAAUCAAUUAAAAAAGGCAGGAUUUUGUGUUGUAUUGACUUUAUCAGCUUUCUGCACUCUUUUCUUGUCUUUUUUAAUGCACUUUUCGUUUAACAAGUCAACAUCAAUUUCUUUUGUUGUAAAAGGGUCAUUGGAAGGUGGCUUUCUUUUCGGAGAAAGUGUUUAUAGCCUUUGGCCUCUGCAAUCGGAGAGAUUGAGGUCUGCAGCGUAGAUCCUUCGGGGCUAGAUACAUUAGAUGCUAAGUUAUAGCUUUUUAUAGACAACUUGUUGACUAUGAUUAAGUCAUGUAGCUUACUCGCUUAUGCCUAUUUUACCUACGCUUAGGAUGUUGACGAUCAGCUGAGCGCG
rnacentral:rRNA from 1 species